rnacentral:rRNA from 1 species
CCCUUAGACGUUCUGGGCCGCACGCGCGCUACACUGACGAAGGCAACGAGCUUUCCUUUACCGAAAGGUACGGGUAAUCUUUUGAAACUUCGUCGUGCUGGGGAUAGAUCCUUGCAAUUUUUGAUCUUAAACGAGGAAUGCCUAGUAAGCGCAAGUCAUCAACUUGCGUUGAUUACGUCCCUGCCCUUUGUACACACCGCCCGUCGCGACUACCGAUUGAAUGGUUUAGUGAGGCCUUCGGAUCCGCGACUCGUUUGUGGAGAAGUUGGACAAACUCAGUCAUUUAGAGGAAGUAAAAGUCGUAACA